rnacentral:rRNA from 1 species
UGGCGGCGUGCCUAAUACAUGCAAGUCGAACGGUCUUUCUAUGGAAGCUUGCUUCCACUGAGAAGAUAGUGGCGAACGGGUGGAGUAACACGUGGGUAACCUGCCCAUAAGAGGGGGAUAACAUCCGGAAACGGGUGCUAAUACCGCAUAGUUUUCUUGAUCGCAUGAUCGGGAAAGGAAAGACGGCCUUUGUGCUGUCGCUUAUGGAUGGACCCGCGGCGUAUUAGUUAGUUGGUGAGGUAACGGCUCACCAAGACGAUGAUACGUAGCCGACCUGAGAGGGUGAUCGGCCACAUUGGGACUGAGACACGGCCCAAACUCCUACGGGAGGCAGCAGUAGGGAAUCUUCCGCAAUGGACGAAAGUCUGACGGAGCAACGCCGCGUGAGUGAAGAAAGGUUUUCGGAUCGUAAAACUCUGUUGUCAGAGAAGAACAAGUUGGAGAGUAACUGCUCCAGCCUUGACGGUAUCUGACCAGAAAGCCACGGCUAACUACGUGCCAGCCGCAGC